ACGCUUGAAGUCAGUCGCGUUGGCUAGAAAUCAGCCUUGCUUUUGCUUGGUGUACUUUCUGGUUGAUGGGUCAGCAUCAAUUUUGACCAUUGGAUAAAGUCAUCGGGAAUGUGGCAUCUUAGGAUGUGUUAUAGCCCAUUGUCGCAUACAGUGGUUGGGAUUGAGGAACUCAGCACGCCGCAAAGGCCGGGUUUUUUAAACCACGUUCGUGCUUAGGAUGCUGGCAUAAUGGCUUUAAUCGACCCGUCUUGAAACACGGACCAAGGAGUC
rnacentral:rRNA from 1 species